rnacentral:rRNA from 1 species
GUGGGGAAUAUUGGACAAUGGGGGGAACCCUGAUCCAGCCAUGCCGCGUGUGUGAAGAAGGCCUUUUGGUUGUAAAGCACUUUAAGCGAGGAGGAGGCUUACCUGGUUAAUACCUGGGAUAAGUGGACGUUACUCGCAGAAUAAGCACCGGCUAACUCUGUGCCAGCAGCCGCGGUAAUACAGAGGGUGCAAGCGUUAAUCGGAUUUACUGGGCGUAAAGCGCGCGUAGGUGGCUAAUUAAGUCAAAUGUGAAAUCCCCGAGCUUAACUUGGGAAUUGCAUUCGAUACUGGUUAGCUAGAGUAUGGGAGAGGAUGGUAGAAUUCCAGGUGUAGCGGUGAAAUGCGUAGAGAUCUGGAGGAAUACCGAUGGCGAAGGCAGCCAUCUGGCCUAAUACUGACACUGAGGUGCGAAAGCAUGGGGAGCAAACAGGAUUAGAAACCCCAGUAGUCC